rnacentral:lncRNA from 1 species
ACCACUAUGGCCCAAAUAACCAUGUUUCCCAAAGAAAAAUGAUAUCAUUAGUUUGCCAAUUUGAGCCGUGUAUGUUGAACCUUUUAUUUCUUAUCACCAGAUAUGUCUACCCUUAUACCUGAAACAUUUUUCAUUACCCUUUCCAAGCGAGCAAUGCGAGAUUGUCUUAUGAGAAACGUUUGUGAAGUACUUUGAAGGUGUUUGGCAAAAGAAUAAGUGUGGGGGUAUUUCAUGUUUGUAUAAAAAAAAUAAAAAAAAAAAAAGGAAAAAAGAGAAGAAAAAGAAAAAGAAAAAUUGUACACAAAGAAAAUAAAAAGUUGUUCAAGUUUCAGUUUAAGGGUAUGGUUGGAGGUGCUAGAAGAAUUGUUGGAGAGCUUGAGUUCUUAUAAAUCUAAAGAAAAGAAUUGAUUGCAAUGUAGCUUGGAAUUUGUGUUUCCUAUUCUUUUGUUUCAAUAACCUUAUCCCUAAACCUCAUUACAUCCAAUAAAAGUCCUCUUGAUUUAAGUUUUGCAAUUAUGACUGUGGAGAAGUGAUCUUUAUGCAAGCUUAUGGUAGAAAUUUCACAUUUGAUUCUUUGAGCGAAACACAUUAAAACUAAACACAUGUGUGAUUGAGUGCAUAUCCAGUGAGAAGGUCGCUAGUUUGCAUAUGAUGAUCUUAAAAAUAAAAACUUGAAAUUGCAUUAGCAUGGCUAUCUCACACACUACACUUCAAGGAUGAUUCAAAGAUUACUGCUAAUAUUUGAAUAAGGAAGAUGAACUUGGAUUAGUUUGUUGGUGCUAGCUAUGGUUCUUGAUGAUUUGUUUUCUCGAAUGAAAUUCUAUGAGGGUCACAUAGAGGGAAGCUAAUGUUUUUCUUGUUACUUCUUGUUCUAGUUUUCUUUGUUUUGCUCGAGGACUAGCAAAAGUU